rnacentral:tRNA from 1 species
GGAUCCAUGGCAUAAUGGUAACGUGUCUGAUUUUAUAUCAAAAGGUUGUGUGUCUGAUUCACGUUGUAUCCA